CACUCGGGGUCAUCGGCCCGCCCGCACAGGGCAGCAAGCUGCUCCGGUGGUUGCUCCGUAACGUCUCGCGGCACUAGCCGCGGGUGCGGCGAAUCGUGAUGUCGCCGUUCACGGUGCGAAUGUGAAUCCGCCCGCGCCCGUUACCUACGACGCCGCGGGCCCGCACGUACUUGCGCGGCGUCCCGUCGCGAUCGCUCCACUCGUCGGUUGCCGAGCGCUCCAGCUCCCAGGCGCUGUCGAUGCGGGUUUCGCGCUUGAAUUUCUUCGUGUACGCGGUCUCGAGGUCGAACUUCCCGUCGAAGUCGCUGGGAAGCUCGACGAUGACGGCGCCAGUUCCCGUCGCGACUUCGACCGUCUGCUCCUCGUCGCCUGCCGAUGCCACGACGAUGUGCACGUCGCCGCCGCCUGUGGUGGCGCGUACGGAGCCUGCGACCGGCCCAAUCUCGAUAUCGCCGCCGCCCGUGGUGGCAUCCACCAUCCCGGCCGCGCGUCCAAUGACGAUCUUCCCACCGCCGGUUCCAACCGUCGCUCCAUGCGGCGCUUCAUCGAGAACGAUUUCGCCGCCGCCUUCGCUGAUUUCGAUUUCGCCGUGUUUGCCCUCGUGACGCGAGGUCGAGCCGUAUUGUUCCGAAUCGCUCGUCCCACUACUGCCGGCAUGCACGGUGCGGCCGCUUCCAGUAUCGCCACGCAAGCUGCCCUUUACGUUCGAGAACCGCACCUUGCCGCCGCCGGUCGAGACGCGGCCGGUCAGGUCAGAAUCCUCGACCUGGAUGUUCCCUCCACCCGUAGUCAACUUCGCCGAGCCGCGGACGUUCGAAAUCGUCAACGGGCCACCGCCGGUAGCACCCU
rnacentral:misc_RNA from 1 species